AUCUACAGCCAUGCCGCCCUGAAUGUGCCCGAUCUCGUCUGAUCUCAGAAGCUAAGUAGGGUUGGGCCUGGUUAGUACUUCGAUGGGAGACAACCUCGGAAUACCAGGUGCUGUAGGCA
rnacentral:rRNA from 1 species